rnacentral:rRNA from 1 species
AGAUUGAACGCUGGCGGCAUGCCUAACACAUGCAAGUCGAACGGGAGUAGCAAUACUCUAGUGGCGGACGGGUGAGGAAUACGUAGGAAUUUGCCCUUAAGUGGGGGAUAACCCGGGGAAACCCGGAUUAAUACCGCAUGACCUCGAAAGAGCAAAGUGGGGGAUCGCAAGACCUCACGCUUUUGGAGAAGCCUACGUCGGAUUAGCUAGUUGGUGAGGUAAUGGCUCACCAAGGCGACGAUCCGUAACUGGUCUGAGAGGAUGAUCAGUCACACCGGAACUGAGACACGGUCCGGACUCCUACGGGAGCAGCAGUGGGGAAUAUGGACAAUGGGCGCAAGCCUGAUCCAGCCAAUGCCGCGUGUGUAGAAGGAACGGUCCGUUCGGGUUAGUAAAGCUAACGUUUUAAGGUUAGGGAAAGAAAAACGUCGACUCAACACAGUGACGUUCUGGACCGUACCGAACG